rnacentral:rRNA from 1 species
AACGAACGCUGGCGGCAGGCCUAACACAUGCAAGUCGAACGCAUCGCAAGAUGAGUGGCGCACGGGUGAGUAACACGUGGGAAUGUAUCCUUUGGUUCGGAAUAACGUCUGGAAACGGACGCUAAUACCGGAUGAGCCCUUAGGGGGAAAGAUUUAUCGCCGAAGGAGCAGCCCGCGGCUGAUUAGGUAGUUGGUGGGGUAAAGGCCUACCAAGCCGACGAUCAGUAGCUGGUCUGAGAGGAUGAUCAGCCACACUGGGACUGAGACACGGCCCAGACUCCUACGGGAGGCAGCAGUGGGGAAUAUUGGACAAUGGGCGCAAGCCUGAUCCAGCCAUGCCGCGUGAGUGAUGAAGGCCUUCGGGUUGUAAAGCUCUUUCGCACACGACGAUGAUGACGGUAGUGUGAGAAGAAGCCCCGGCUAACUUCGUGCCAGCCGCCGCGGUAAAAC